AUUGAACGCUGGCGGCCGGCCUAACACAUGCAAGUCGAGCGGCGCGACAGACGGGUGAGUAAUGCCUAGGAAUCUGCCUGGUCGUGGGGGAGAACGUCCGGAAACGGGCGCUAAUACCGCAUCCUAUCAGCUGAGCCUAGGUAGGAUUAGUUAGUUGGUGGGAUAAAGGCCUACCAAGGCGACGAUCCGUAACGGGUCUGAGAGGAUGAUAAGUCACACGGGAACUGAGACCCGGUCCAGACGCCUACGGGAGGCAGCAGGGGGGAAUAUGGGACAAUGGGCGAAAGCCUGACCCAGCCAUGCCGCGUGUGUGAAGAAGGUCUUCGGAGUGUAAAGCACUUUAAGUUGGGAGGCGUUACCAACAGAAUAAGCACCGGCUAACUUCGUGCCAGCAGCCGCGGUAAUAC
rnacentral:rRNA from 1 species